UACGUAGGGUGCAAGCGUUAAUCGGAAUUACUGGGCGUAAAGCGUGCGCAGGCGGUCUUGCAAGACAGAUGUGAAAUCCCCGGGCUCAACCUGGGAACUGCAUUUGAGACUGCAAGGCUGGAGUGCGGGAGAGGGGGAUGGAAUUCCGCGUGUAGCAGUGAAAUGCGUAGAUAUGCGGAGGAACACCGAUGGCGAAGGCAAUCCCCUGGGCCUGCACUGACGCUCAUGCACGAAAGCGUGGGGAGCAAACAGG
rnacentral:rRNA from 1 species